UACGUAGGGUGCGAGCGUUAAUCGGAAUUACUGGGCGUAAAGCGUGCGCAGGCGGUCUUGCAAGACAGUGGUGAAAUCCCCGGGCUCAACCUGGGAACGGCCAUUGUGACUGCAAGGCUGGAGUACGGCAGAGGGGGAUGGAAUUCCGCGUGUAGCAGUGAAAUGCGUAGAUAUGCGGAGGAACACCGAUGGCGAAGGCAGUCCCCUGGGCCUGUACUGACGCUCAUGCACGAAAGCGUGGGGAGCAAACAGGAUUAGAUACCCUGGUAGUCCACGCCCUAAACGAUGUCAACUGGUUGUUGGGGAUUUACUUCCUCAGUAACGAAGCUAACGCGUGAAGUUGACCGCCUGGGGAGUACGGCCGCAAGGUUAAAGCUCAAAG
rnacentral:rRNA from 1 species